UACGGAGGGUGCAAGCGUUAAUCGGAAUUACUGGGCGUAAAGCGCACGCAGGCGGUCUGUCAAGUCGGAUGUGAAAUCCCCGGGCUCAACCUGGGAACUGCAUUCGAAACUGGCAGGCUAGAGUCUUGUAGAGGGGGGUAGAAUUCCAGGUGUAGCGGUGAAAUGCGUAGAGAUUAGGAAGAAUACCAGUGGCGAAGGCGCCUUUCUGGACUGUAACUGACACUGAGGCUCGAAAGCGUGGGGAGCAAACAGGAUUAGAUACCCUGGUAGUCCACGCUGUAAACGAUGUCGAUUUGGAGGUUGUGCCCUUGAGGCGUGGCUUCCGGAGCUAACGCGUUAAAUCGACCGCCUGGGGAGUACGGCCGCAAGGUUAAA
rnacentral:rRNA from 1 species